rnacentral:tRNA from 1 species
GGCUUGAUGGCCGAGUGGCUAGCGCUCUGGCCCUCGGUGCCAUGGGUUUGUAGUGGUUCGGAAUCCACUUUAAGCCC